AACGAACGCUGGCGGCAUGCCUAACACAUGCAAGUCGAACGGGAUCCUAGCUUGCUAGGUGAGAGUGGCGGACGGGUGAGUAACACGUGGGAAUCUGCCUUUUGGUUCGGGAUAACCGCGGGAAACUGCGGCUAAUACCGAAUGCCCUCGAGAGAGGAAAGAUUUAUCGCCAGAAGAGGAGCCCGCGUCCGAUUAGGUAGUUGGUGGGGUAAAAGGCCUACCAAGCCGACGAUCGGUAGCUGGUCUGAGAGGAUGAUCAGCCACACUGGGACUGAGAUACGGCCCAGACUCCUACGGGAGGCAGCAGUGGGGAAUAUUGGACAAUGGGCGCAAGCCUGAUCCAGCCAUGCCGCGUGGGUGAAGAAGGCC
rnacentral:rRNA from 1 species